UGGGAAACUGGGGAUAAUACCCUAUAGACUAUGGAUGCUGGAAUGCUUCGUAGUUGAAAGGUCCGCCGCUGUAGGAUGGUUCUGCGGCCGAUUAGGUUGUUGUUGGGGUAACGGCCCAACAAGCCUUUAAUCGGUACGGGUUGUGGGAGCAAGAGCCCGGAGAUGGAUUCUGAGACACGAAUCCAGGCCCUACGGGGCGCAGCAGGCGCGAAAACUUUACAAUGCGGGAAACCGUGAUAAGGGAACUCUGAGUGCCCGGAAAAUCGGGCUGUCCAUCAGUUUAAAUAACUGGUGAAGAAAGGGCCGGGCAAGACCGGUGCCAGCCGCCGCGGUAAUA
rnacentral:rRNA from 1 species